GUCCGGAUUGUUAGUCUGCAACUCGACUACAUGAAGCUGGAAUCGCUAGUAAUCGCGAAUCAGAAUGUCGCGGUGAAUACGUUCCCGGGUCUUGUACACACCGCCCGUCACACCAUGGGAGUCGGGAAUGCCCGAAGUCAGUGACCCAACCGGAAGGAGGGAGCUGCCGAAGGCAGGCUCGAUAACUGGGGUGAAGUCGUAACAAGGUAAC
rnacentral:rRNA from 1 species